rnacentral:rRNA from 1 species
CAGUCGCCGCGGUAAAACCGAGGGUGCAAGCGUUAAUCGGAAUUACAGGGCGUAAAGCGCGCGUAGGUGGUUUGUUAAGUUGGAUGUGAAAUCCCCGGGCUCAACCUGGGAACUGCAUCCAAAACUGGCAAGCUAGAGUAUGGUAGAGGGUGGUGGAAUUUCCUGUGUAGCGGUGAAAUGCGUAGAUAUAGGAAGGAACACCAGUGGCGAAGGCGACCACCUGGACUGAUACUGACACUGAGGUGCGAAAGCGUGGGGAGCAAACAGGAUUAGAUACCCGGGUAGUCCCUGUCUCUUAUAA